GAGACGGCAAGAAACAAGCCGAUUAUGUUCGCGUUAAUUAAGUUCAGUUCAGUUCAGUUCAGUUCAUUUUUAUUUCAAUUCUCAAUUCUGCCAACUGAACAUAUACGAGAUUUUAAUGAGGAUGAAUAAUUAGCCGGCAUGGAGGAAACGGACCUUUAUUUGGUGGAGUGGCGACAAGAAGCAGGCGGGUGGCCGGUCUAUGAAGCCUCCAUCAUCAAGCUAGCAGAAAUCCCACCUCUCCUUCUGGCUACAGAGUACUUACCAAGCCCAUGAAAUCGAAUGCAGAUCUUCCUGAUGUGAGAUUUACAUAAAUAUGUCAAAGUCUCAACCUCAUGCUGCCCUCCCCA